rnacentral:lncRNA from 1 species
AAGAUCGGACCACAAAGCUCAGAAUUUACCAUUGUAACUCCCAACAGAGCUAUUGUCAUAGAUCAACGUCAACUGCGAUUCAGACACACUUUUCCUGUCCUGGAACUUCCAAACUUAGCAGCCCUCUUUACUUAAAAUUCAAAACCUCUUUCCAAACUCGAUACUUCCCAUCCCAAGCAUUCUGUGCCUCGGGAUGGAUUUUCUCUUGAAUUUGUAACACACUGAUGGUCUGUUUGUUGACCUCCUAAAUGAUGCAACUAACGGUAGACAACUUUGGGAAUCACCCGGCGUGGAAAAUGUGCCCUUUCAACCCUCCUCGUUUCUGAGUGGGGAACGGACGGCAAAACCAACUAAGGCAGCACCUCGCGGAAGCACAAUAGCCUAACAGUGGGAGUUACUUUCAAACAAAUUCUAGAUGUCGAGUAGAGAAGCUGGCCUUCUCGAUCCCUCCUUUGAGACAGCAUUGGCUACUGUGCACUUUGUACCUAAAAUGAGAAACAGUGGGAGUCCCCAUAGUGGCUCAGCGGAACUGAAUCUGACUAGCAUCCAUGAGGACGCAAGUUUGAUCCCUGGCCUCCAUCAGUGGGUCAAGGAUCUGGCAUUGCCAUGAGCUGCAUCGCAGAGGCAGCUUGGAUCUGGCAUGGCUGUGGCUCUAGCGAAGGUCAGUGCCUACAGCUCCGAUUCGACCCCUAGCCUGGAACCUCUGUAUGCUGAGGGUGUGGCCCUAAAAGGAAAAAAAAAAAAAAAAAAGAGAGAGAGAGAGAGAGAGAAACGGUUCCAGAACUCAUCCAGACUCAGGCUCAUGAGCAUCAGAGGCGCUUAUGUGGACACGCGUUCAGUGAAGCAAAGAUACCAUUUAAGGGAGGAGCCCGAAUUCCGUGGGGACUUUGACCAGGUCCUGGGCCUGAAGGUUUCACGUGGCUGCCAUCACAGAGCCCUCGGCUUUCCUGGGUCCACUCCAACACAGAAAAGGCUUUGUUGUCGGAGUUAACCUCCCAGCCUGAACGCCUGGAGCUGGAAGAGCCAUUUCCUUGUGGCAAUGCUGUUGCCAUAGUUACGAGGCCCUCCUCGGGUGCUUUCCAGAUUAC